GCUGGGAUAGUUCAGUUGAUGGAGUAUAAAACUGUUAAUCUCAGAGUUGUGGGUUCAAGCCCCACGUUGGGCA